UGCAAGUCGAGCGAACUGAUUAGAAGCUUGCUUCUAUGACGUUAGCGGCGGACGGGUGAGUAACACGUGGGCAACCUGCCUGUAAGACUGGGAUAACUUCGGGAAACCGAAGCUAAUACCGGAUAGGAUCUUCUCCUUCAUGGGAGAUGAUUGAAAGAUGGUUUCGGCUAUCACUUACAGAUGGGCCCGCGGUGCAUUAGCUAGUUGGUGAGGUAACGGCUCACCAAGGCAACGAUGCAUAGCCGACCUGAGAGGGUGAUCGGCCACACUGGGACUGAGACACGGCCCAGACUCCUACGGGAGGCAGCAGUAGGGAAUCUUCCGCAAUGGACGAAAGUCUGACGGAGCAACGCCGCGUGAGUGAUGAAGGCUUUCGGGUCGUAAAACUCUGUUGUUAGGGAAGAACAGGUACGAGAGUAACUGCUCGUCCCUUGACGGUACCUAACUUGAAAGCCACCCCUAACUACGUGCCA
rnacentral:rRNA from 1 species